rnacentral:rRNA from 1 species
UUCUGGCUCAGGAUGAACGCUAGCGGCAGGCUUAACACAUGCAAGUCGAGGGGCAUCGGGAGUAGCAAUACUUGCCGGCGACCGGCGCAAGGGUGCGUAACGCGUGAGCAACAUGCCCGUAUCAGGGGGAUAAUCCAUGGAAACGUGGUCUAAUACCCCAUAGUAAUUAUGUAAGGCAUCUUAUAUAAUUUAAAGCUUUGGUGGAUACGGAUUGGCUCGCGUGACAUUAGCUGGAUGGUAAGGUAACGGCUUACCAUGGCUACGAUGUCUAGGGGUUCUGAGAGGAAGGUCCCCCCACACUGGAACUGAGACACGGUCCAGACUCCUACGGGAGGCAGCAGUGAGGAAUAUUGGACAAUGGAUGGAAAUCUGAUCCAGCCAUGCCGCGUGCAGGAAAGACGGCCCUAUGGGUUGUAAACUGCUUUUGUAUGGGAGCAAUAAGGGCUACGUGUAGUCCGAUGAGAGUACCAUACGAAUAAGCACCGGCUAACUCCGUGCCAGCCGCUGC